CUCUCAUUUCGUUGUCCAUUUAACUGCUACCCACUCUCUCUAGAUCUAGAUCCAGAUCUCGAUCUCUCGAACCCGAACUGUAUUGACUCUCUCUCUCUUCUGUACUUGUUCGCUCUCUUUUUCUGAAAGGUCUGGCCUCAUUGGUUUCGGAAGGAUGGGCCGAUUUGGUGGCGGGAGUUGCUCUGCAGAGAGACUAUGUCGAUCUCUACUGACUACAUGAACCACCUGAAACAGGAGCUGAAUAUAUUGUUGAGUCUACAGUAGUGUUUAGUGAUAAGGACAAGCCUGCUCCCUUGAUGGUUACUAUGAUCCUUUCCUGCGUAUACUUUAAUUUGCCAUUGCAGAUCUAUAUCAUUCACUUAUUCUGAAUAUGUGAAAUUGCCUCUCAAAAUGAAAAUUUUGUUCCUUGCUACCACAUAUACAGAUUUUUUUGGCAUGGAAAGGAACCGAUGUGCUGUUGCAAAGGUAGAUUAUAAAGACGAUCAAUGAAAACCAAUCAAAUCUUGCGUCUCCAGAUAAGAUAGUUGCUUCUGGAAAGCUUCAAGUGAAUAUUGGGUAUGGGUAUGCUGCAGAACAGGAAGAGUUUGAUUAAUGUGGAAAAUUAUAUUCAUCGAUUGUCCCUAUGAUCCAUCUUUGCAACAGCUUGCCCCAGUCUUUUCCAGUCCGUGUAAUCCUGGUUCUCCAUCUCCUUCAUGGCAUCAGUGGAGCUAUCAUCAUCAUCAUCUUGUAGUGCGAUGAAUUGCACAUAAAUCAAUGUUGGUAACAGAUUUCUUGGCAUGGAAAAGAACAGAUGCACUGUUGCAAAGUUGGAUUAUGAAGACGAUCAAUGAAACCAAGCAAGUCUUAGAGUCUCAAGAAGAAGAAGAAUCAGCCUUCUCCAAAUAAAUAAGAUAGUUACUUUUGAAAAGCUUCAAAGGGAUCAAGGGAACAAAUUCGCUCACACUUAUCUCUAUUGGGUAUCGGUACACUGCAAAAGAGGGAGAGUUUGAUUAAGUCAUUGAUUAACGUGGAAAAACAUCCUCAUUGAUGGUCCCUAUAAUCCAGCUCUGCAAUAGCGCUCCUGAUCUUUUUCCAGUCCUGGUAAUCCCGGUUCUCCAUUUCCUUUAUUGCAUCAGUGGAGCUAUCAUCAUUCUUGUAUUGUGAUAGAAUAGUAAUGAAUAGUAAUAAAUUCUAUUGAAGAUCUAUAUCAUUUACUUAUUAUGCGGAUAACAGAUUUCUUGUCAUUGAAAAGAACCGAUGCGCUGUUGUAAAGCUGGAUUAUAAAGACGAUCAUUGAAACCAACCAAGUCUCGAGUCUCAAAAAGAUGAAGCAUGAGCCUUCUCCAAAUAAGAUAGUUGCUUUUGAAAAGCUUCAAGUGAACAAUGUUGCCCACAUUGACCUCUAUUGGGUAUGGGUGCGCUGCAAAAGAGGAAGAGUUUGAUUAAGUCAUUGAUGCAGAGAAACAUCUUCAUUGAUUGUCCCUAUAAUCCAGCUUCGUAACAGCGCGUCCGAUCUUUUUCAGUCCUGGUUCUCCCAUCUCCUUCAUGGCGUCGGUGGAGCUAUCAUCAUCUUCCACUCUGAUAAAUUGUAACCACAAAACAAUCUUAUUAUAUUACAUAAAGGUACUGUCUGAUAAGAAUUUUGCUAUUGUAUUUAGAUAAUAAUUUGUAAUUUAGUACUCAACAAAGUAGUUCACUUAACUACUAGGUAUUUGUUUGUUAGAUUUUUUACUUUUUUAAUAUUAUAUAUAUAUAUAUAUAUAUAUAUAUAUAUAUAUAUAUUUGUGUUUGGCUCUAUUUGAGGUUGUAGUCUCAGUCAGACCACGUUUUACCUAUCUAAAUUUUGGUCUCUCUCUUGUCCUGGGAUUACCCUCAGUUUGGACAAUCUUACUUUUCCAUUACAUGUUAGAUUUAUUUAUUUAUUUUAUUUUGUGUGUUUGGCUCUAUUUGAGGUUGUAGUCUCAGUCAGACCACAUGUUAUAACCUAUCUUAAUUUUGGUCUUUCUCUUGUCCCAGGAUUACCCUCAGUGUGGACAAUCUUACUUUUCCAGUACAGUGCAUUCAGUUCUGUUUCUUUGCAGUGUUAAUUUUUGUGAUCUUCAGAUUUAGAAGCCAUAAAUCUUAUUUAUUUUCAUAUUGAAUGAUGUUGCAUUUCUUUUAGUUUUGCUUAUUUAAAUAUAAAUUUUAGAAGUGAUCUAUUUGUCAAAUUUUUUUUGAUGCUGCAAGUACUUUGAAUUCCUGCAGAUUGAGGUUGAAAAUUCUGGCUGAGUUGUAUUGGUUUUAUUGAUUCGUUAGGGUAGUGCCAAGGUGGUCAUAAUUUCAGUCCCUAGCAAGGAUGCCCCAAUGUUUGAUGUGGGUUUAAAUGAAAAGGAGUACAAGCCAGAUCUUCACAUUGUUUGGUUGAUCCAGCAAUAUUUCUGUGUUCCGAUUGUUGAUUUGAUCAUUUAAAAGUAUUAGAUGAAGUUGAUCUGUGUAGGUUUUCGACUAUUGCUAAUAGGGUUUAUCUGGGUUGAUUGAUCUUGCAGACAUAUAUGUUCAAACUAGCUUUUUGACUACGCUGAUAGGGGGCUUAUUUGGGUUGAUUUUCUUCUUGCAGGUAUAUAUGUUCACACAAGCUUUUUGAGUUUGCUAACAGGGCUUAUUUGGGGUAAUUGCUCUUGCAGACGUGUAUGUUUAAGUAUGACAGUGUUCAUCGUCAGUGGAAGCAUCACAAACUCAAAGGAGGAAUGCAGGGAAAGCUCAAGUGAGUCCUAGGUUACACAGAAGUUGACGUGAUUUCCAGAGACUUUAUGGGUGACAGCAGGUCAAGCGUCUUUGAUGCCAAGGCUGGAAUUGCUUUGAAUGAUAACUUUGUGUACAUCAUUUGUUGGUACGACAAUGAGGGGUUACAGCACACAAGUGGUUGACUUGAUCGUCCAAAUGGCAAAUUCCACUAGAUUGUGCUCAAGACAGACAAUGUUACGGGCUUGGUUAUAGCAUUUAGCUGUGCGUUUCGAUGACACUAAGGAUAAAAUAAGUUAUUUAGGAACUAACAAUUUUUAGGGCUGCGUUGUGAUUAGCUAGUUUGUGUCUUCAAGUUUUCUAGGUUCAGGUGGUGAAAGAUAUCUUCCCUUUAUAAGUGUGAAUGAGUUUCCUCGAGAGUGCUUUCAGUAGCUUGGAAUGGAAUUGGAAUCUGUGAAUUCAAUUCCAAAUCCAUUGUUUGUACCAGUUUAGGAAUUUAUAUGGAAUUUCUUUUGUAUGGAUA